GUCUACGGUCAUACCACCCUGAACACGCCCGAUCUCGUCUGAUCUCAGAAGCUAAGCAGUGCCGGGCCUUGUUAGCACUUGGAUGGGAGACCACCUAGGAAUACCACGUGCUGUAGGGA
rnacentral:rRNA from 1 species